UACGUAGGGUGCGAGCGUUGUCCGGAAUUAUUGGGCGUAAAGGGCUCGUAGGCGGUUUGUCGCGUCGGGAGCGAAAACCAAGUGCUUAACACUUGGCUUGCUUUCGAUACGGGCAGACUGGAGGUAUGCAGGGGAGAACGGAAUUCCUGGUGUAGCGGUGAAAUGCGCAGAUAUCAGGAGGAACACCGGUGGCGAAGGCGGUUCUCUGGGCAGUAACUGACGCUGAGGAGCGAAAGCGUGGGGAGCGAACAGG
rnacentral:rRNA from 1 species